UUUCGUUUUACAGUAGCAGAGAUUGAUUAGAAAGGAAGAGGUUUUACAGUGAUAUGGUGGGUCGAGAGGACCAUCUGUAUUUUGUAAUGAUUCAUUGGACUGCAUCUGUUUUUAUGUGUCUUUAUCAUGAUUUAGACCAAGCAGAGUGGUGGGGUAAUCUUUGAUGGCCAUGAAAUGACCUUAUGUUUGAAGGCCCCACUGUGUGAUACACAGCUCAUCAGGAUUAAGGCCUCCUUAGUACUCUCAGUGGUCAAAUUUCACUAUAACCCAAUUGUUUUUUUGGGUUGAAUGCUCACCUCUUCUUUUGGGUUGAAUUGGCUUUGUUUUUUAUCUUGUCAUGGAUUACAGCCAUUGUCGUAUCAAUCCAGAUCUGUCAGGAGAGUGAUUCAUGCCAGUACCAUUAACCAUUAGUUACUUUUUCAACUCAACAGCCCAUUUUUUGUAUACACAUGGUUAAGUUCAAUUGCAUCUUGGACUUUUUUAAAAAUUUCAUUGCUGGGUGAUGUUUAAUGUCUUUUUUCUUUAUGGACUUUCUUGAAGCAGAUUGCUGAGUUGUUUUUGAUACUACCUUUUUUUCAGAUUGCUGGGUCAUGUUUAAUAUCUCUUGGGGUAUAAUAUUACCUGUUACUGUUAGGAAAGGGCAGAAAAGGGAUUUUGUGGUGGGAACUGCAAUGCAGAAUGCGCAAAGUAAUGGAUGAAGGGAACCCAUUUCAGCCUUUAGGUGGAUUAGGGUCGCGGACUUCCUGCAGAAACAUAAAAAAAAUAUGGAACUUUGAGUGCUUAAUGCUCGUUUUUUGACCAUUUUGGUGCUCGUGGAUACAGUUUUAGGAAACUCUGCGAAGGACAAGAGUAUUCAGUUACAGCUACUGUGUAACAAGAUCCGGGAAAUUUCACAACAAUGAGAGGUGGGUACGGGAGAUGUAGAUUGGAGGUAUUGUUUUCUGUUGCAUUUUGUGCAUUGUUAUUGGCAUGCCCAACUGUUGUCAAUGGGUUAACAGACCCAGGAGACCUGGCAAUUUUGAAUGCAUUCAAGAAGGGGAUAGCCAAUUCAGAGUUGCUGAAAUGGCCUGAUGGGGAUAAUGAUCCCUGUGGCAAUAAAUGGAAUGGUAUAUACUGCACAACUGGUAACAGAGUAUCACAGAUUCAGUUCUUUAAAGCUGGACUUCAGGGCACCUUACCCUCCAAUUUCAAUCAGCUUACUGCACUAGAGAGAAUCAGCUUGCAGAGAAACAAUCUGUCAGGGACUUUACCCACCUUCAAUGGUCUAUCAAAUCUGCAGUAUUGCUACCUUGGCACGAACCAAUUCGACACCAUUCCUGCAGAUUUCUUUGUGGGAUUGACCAAUUUGCAGUAUUUCUCUUUGGAGUACAAUAAUCUCAAUGCCACGGAAGGAUGGAAGCUUCCCUCGGACCUAAAAGCUUCUGUUCGUCUGCAAAAUUUGUCAUUAUCCCGGGUUAAUCUUGUUGGGCCUAUACCAGAUUUUCUUGGGCAGAUGGUUCAGUUAUAUGUGUUGGAACUGGCCUACAAUAAACUUUCAGGAGCCAUUCCAUCGACUUUCUCUAGAUCUGGAAUACAGGUUCUCCAAUUGAAUAACCAAGAUACAUCCGCUCUCUCUGGUUCACUAGACUUGCUGGGCACAAUGCAGUCUCUGACACAGUUGUGGCUACAUGGGAAUAAUUUCAAUGGAACCAUUCCAGUUUCACUCUCGAACUGUGUAUCUUUAAAAGAUAUCAGGCUAAAUCAGAAUGAUCUGGUUGGGCCAAUCCCUUUCCAAUUCACGGACUUGUCGCUCUCCAAUCUUUCAGUGGAUAACAACAAGCUUACUGGACCAAUUCCCGACCUCAAGAUUCCUGCUGGUGGUUUCAGUUAUGAUGGUAAUUCUUUUUGUCAAUCUGAGCCUGGUAAGCCCUGUGCACCCGAAGUAACUGCUCUUUUGGAUUUUUUAGCCACUGUGAAUUACCCAGUUGAUCUAGCAGGGUCCUGGGCUGGAAAUGAUCCCUGCAAUUUGUGGUUAGGUAUUACAUGCACUAGUGGUAGGGUUAGUACUAUCAGUUUACCUAAUAGGCAACUCACUGGAAAGAUAUCACCAUCUCUUGUCAAUCUGUCUUCUCUCAAGAUUAUCAAGCUGAAUGUUAACAAUCUCUCUGGUGAAAUCCCAGCUAAUUUAACACAAUUGAAGUAUUUGAGUGCUCUAGAUGUCAGUGAUAAUAAUCUGAGUCCUCCUGUACCAACCUUUGCUGCAAGUGUCGAUGUUCGCUAUGAUGGCAAUCAUCUGAUUGAGAAACCAUCACCCCCUCCUACAAAUCCUUCUGCGCCGAGUCCUUCAGGAAGUCCCCCUUCUUCAGCACCUCCAGCACCCACAAAAGGGUCCACCCCUCCUGUGAAUCCCCCAUCAUCUGGUGGAAGCAGGAGAAACGGUAACAAUCCAACUGGCUCUACAACAGGAGAUGACACUAAAAAGAACAAAUCUUCUCAAACCCCUGUUGGAAUUAUUGUUGGACCUGUGGCUGCCGCUGUUGUGCUCUUUUUGAUUAUACCUGCUGUUGUAUUUUGCUUGUACAAGAAAAAGAGACACCGACUUGUAAGAGUUGAAGCGCCUAGCACUGUCAUUGUUAAUCAGAGAGGCCCGUCAAAUAAUCCAGAGUCAGUUGUAAAAAUAUCAGUUGCAAAUAAUUCUGGUAAUGCUGGUGGAAACAGUCAAAGUGAUACACAAAGUAGAACAAGCAGUGGGCCUAGUGAGGUUCAGGUGAUGGAAGCUGGCAAUCUGAUUAUAUCAGUGCAAAUUCUCAAACAUGUUACUCGGAACUUCAGCCCUGAAAAUGAGCUUGGAAGAGGUGGGUUUGGUGUUGUAUAUAAGGGCCAGUUAGAUGAUGGCACCAGAAUUGCAGUCAAAAGAAUGGAAGCAGCAUCUAUAAGUAGUAAGGGACUGAAUGAAUUCCAGUCAGAAAUAGCAGUUUUGUCAAAAGUUAGGCAUAGGCACCUGGUUUCCCUAUUGGGUUACUGCAUUGAAGGAAAUGAACGGCUCUUGGUAUAUGAGUACAUGCCUCAAGGUGCCCUUAACAGGCAUCUAUUUGAUUGGGCCAAGAACAAUCUUGAACCAAUUUCAUGGAAGAAACGGCUCAGCAUAGCUUUGGAUGUUGCAAGGGGAAUGGAGUAUCUGCAUAGCUUAGCUCAUAGAAGCUUUAUUCAUAGAGACCUUAAGCCAUCUAAUAUACUUCUUGGGGAUGAUUUUCGUGCCAAGGUUUCAGAUUUUGGAUUGGUGAAGUUGGCACCAGAGGGAAAGUACUCUAUUGAGACAAGAUUAGCAGGCACUUUUGGAUAUUUAGCGCCUGAAUAUGCAGUUACUGGGCGAAUAACCACAAAAGCAGAUGUUUUCAGUUUUGGUGUGGUGUUAAUGGAGCUUAUAACAGGAAGGAAGGCACUAGAUGAAAAUGAACCCGAAGAGAGCAUGCAUUUGGUAUCAUGGUUCCGCCGAAUGAACUCAGACAAGGAAUCAUUCUUGAAGGCAAUAGAUCGAGUUCUGGAAGUGACAGAUGAAUCUUUUGAAAGCAUGUGCACUGUUGCAGAACUAGCAGGUCAUUGCACUGCGCGAGAGCCCUAUCAACGUCCUGAUAUGGGGCAUGCUGUAAAUGUUUUGGCACCGUUGGUUGAGAAAUGGAAGCCAACAGAUCAAGAGAGUGAUGAAUAUGGGGGAAUUGAUUUUGACAUGACCCUUCCUCAGGCUCUAAAGAAAUGGCAAGAAUUUGAAGGUACAAGUAUGAGUAUGAGUGGGACAGAUGAUAGCAAGGGCAGUCUUCCAACCAGGCCAACUGGGUUUGCCGACUCUUUCACAUCUGCUGAUGGACGCUAAAAGUAAUUGCAACAGUUUGAAACUAAGCAAUCCAGAAGUAUUUAGAAAUCAUUUCAUGGCCAGCUAAAAUAAUUAGCUUGGUCUUGACCCUCAAGAUCAAGCGGUUUUCUGGAGAAGGGAAAAUUGGAUUCAGUGUUUGGAUUCAAAGCAGCGUUUUUGUGAGGUCUUGGUGUCAGGGUGGAGUAGACAGGAGUAUUUCUUGAUUUUUAUAUAAAAGAGCUGUAAUUUUUGUCUAUUAUUCAACCAGCACUUUAGCACUUUUUCAUUGGUUAUAAAUGUGAGUAAUGUGUAAAGGUCCACCCAAAUCCUUCAAAAUAAAUAUUAAUUUGGUA